GAUUAGUGGCGAACGGGUGAGUAAUACGUGAGUGACCUACCUUUGACUCUGGGAUAAGCCUGGGAAACUGGGUCUAAUACCGGAUACGACCAAUCUCUGCAUGGGGUGUUGGUGGAAAGCGUUAUGGAGUGGUUUUAGAUGGGCUCACGGCCUAUCAGCUUGUUGGUGAGGUAAUGGCUUACCAAGGCGACGACGGGUAGCCGGCCUGAGAGGGUGACCGGCCACACUGGGACUGAGACACGGCCCAGACUCCUACGGGAGGCAGCAGUGGGGAAUAUUGCACAAUGGGCGCAAGCCUGAUGCAGCGACGCCGCGUGAGGGAUGACGGCCUUCGGGUUGUAAACCUCUGUUAGCAUCGAAGAAGCGAAAGUGACGGUAGGUGCAGAGAAAGCGCCGGCUAACUACGUGCCAGCAGCCGCGGUAAUACGUAGGGCGCGAGCGUUGUCCGGAAUUAUUGGGCGUAAAGAGCUUGUAAGCGGUUGGUCGCGUCUGCUGUGAAAGGCCGGGGCUUAACUCCGGUUGUGCAGUGGGUACGGGCUAACUAGAGUGCAGUAGGGGAGACUGGA
rnacentral:rRNA from 1 species